rnacentral:rRNA from 1 species
GACGAACGCUGGCGGCGUGCCUAAUACAUGCAAGUAGAACGCUGAAGGAGGAGCUUGCUCUUCUGGAUGAGUUGCGAACGGGUGAGUAACGCGUAGGUAACCUGCCUGGUAGCGGGGGAUAACUAUUGGAAACGAUAGCUAAUACCGCAUAACAGUAGAUGUUGCAUGACAUUUACUUAAAAGGUGCAAUUGCAUCACUACCAGAUGGACCUGCGUUGUAUUAGCUAGUUGGUGGGGUAACGGCUCACCAAGGCGACGAUACAUAGCCGACCUGAGAGGGGGAUCGGCCAAACUGGGACUGAGACACGGCCCAGACUCCUACGGGAGGCAGCAGUAGGGAAUCUUCGGCAAUGGACGGAAGUCUGACCGAGCAACGCCGCGUGAGGGAAGAAGGUUUUCGGAUCGUAAAGCUCUGUUGUAAGAGAAGAACGAGUGUGAGAGUGGAAAGUUCACACUGUGACGGUAUCUUACCAGAAAGGGACGGCUAACUACGUG